UGUUUCUCAAAUUUCUUAAACAAUUUUAAUCCGUAUUGCACAUUAAUUUAAUUAUGUUUUAUUAUCAUUGUUAUUCUUAGUUUCUUCUUAUUAUAUAUAUUUUUGCAUUUCUUUAUUUUCAUUUGUAGCAGAGGAUACGAACCAUCUCGCGAACGCCGCAGGCGUUAGGCUUGGCUGCAUAAAUAUAUAUCUCACGUAAAUUCGUUUCGAUUUCCGUUCAGAUAAUGAUUUGCCCGAUUACGCUGUUAAUUUGAGUAAUGGAAGCCAGAGCAGUGCAUUUGCUAGUACACAUAUACAUACAUAUGUAUAGUGAA